rnacentral:rRNA from 1 species
AUUGAACGCUGGCGGCAGGCCUAACACAUGCAAGUCGACGAUAGUGGCGAACGGGUGAGUAAUACGUGGGUAACCUGCCCUCCUUUUUGGGAUACGCCUUGGAAACGGGGUCUAAUACCGAAUAAAGGGGGAUGGGCCCGCGGCCUAUCAGCUUGUUGGUGGGGUGAGGGCCUACCAAGGCGGUGACGGGUAGCCGGCCUGUCAGUGUGACCGGACACAUUAGGACUGAGAUACGGCUCAGACUCCGACGGGAGGGAGAAGUUGGGGAUAUUGCUAAAUGGGCGCAAGGCUGCUGCAGGGACGCCAUGUGGGGGAUGAAGGCUUUCGGUUUGUAAACCUCGUUCGCAAUCGAACGGGUAGGUGGAGAGGAAGCGCCGGCUAACUACGUGCCAGCAGCCGCGGUAAUAC